rnacentral:rRNA from 1 species
CUCGUGUCGUGAGAUGUUGGGUUAAGUCCCGCAACGAGCGCAACCCUUGAUCUUAGUUGCCAGCAUUCAGUUGGGCACUCUAAGGUGACUGCCGGUGACAAACCGGAGGAAGGUGGGGAUGACGUCAAAUCAUCAUGCCCCUUAUGACCUGGGCUACACACGUGCUACAAUGGAUGGUACAAAGGGCAGCGAAGCCGCGAGGUGGAGCCAAUCCCACAAAACCAUUCUCAGUUCGGAUUG